rnacentral:rRNA from 1 species
UACGGAGGGUGCAAGCGUUAAUCGGAAUUACUGGGCGUAAAGCGCACGCAGGUGGCUGUGUAAGUCGAUUGUGAAAGCCCUGGGCUUAACCUGGGAAUUGCAGUCGAUACUACUCAGCUAGAGUAUGGGAGAGGGUAGUGGAAUUCCCGGUGUAGCGGUGAAAUGCGUAGAUAUCGGGAGGAACAUCAGUGGCGAAGGCGGCUACCUGGCCCAAUACUGACACUCAGGUGCGACAGCGUGGGGAGCAAACAGG